rnacentral:rRNA from 1 species
UUAAAUUGAAGAGUUUGAUCAUGGCUCAGAUUGAACGCUGGCGGCAGGCCUAACACAUGCAAGUCGAACGGUAACAGGAAACAGCUUGCUGUUUCGCUGACGAGUGGCGGACGGGUGAGUAAUGUCUGGGAAACUGCCUGAUGGAGGGGGAUAACUACUGGAAACGGUAGCUAAUACCGCAUAACGUCGCAAGACCAAAGAGGGGGACCUUCGGGCCUCUUGCCAUCGGAUGUGCCCAGAUGGGAUUAGCUAGUAGGUGGGGUAACGGCUCACCUAGGCGACGAUCCCUAGCUGGUCUGAGAGGAUGACCAGCCACACUGGAACUGAGACACGGUCCAGACUCCUACGGGAGGCAGCAGUGGGGAAUAUUGCACAAUGGGCGCAAGCCUGAUGCAGCCAUGCCGCGUGUAUGAAGAAGGCCUUCGGGUUGUAAAGUACUUUCAGCGGGGAGGAAGGGAGUAAAGUUAAUACCUUUGCUCAUUGACGUUACCCGCAGAAGAAGCACCGGCUAACUCCGUGCCAGCAGCCGCGGUAAUACGGAGGGUGCAAGCGUUAAUCGGAAUUACUGGGCGUAA